rnacentral:rRNA from 1 species
GGUGGGCGGCGCUACCAUGCAGUCGAACGGUAACAGGAAGCAGCUUGCUGCUUUGCUGACGAGUGGCGGACGGGUGAGUAAUGUCUGGGAAACUGCCUGAUGGAGGGGGAUAACUACUGGAAACGGUAGCUAAUACCGCAUAACGUCGCAAGACCAAAGAGGGGGACCUUCGGGCCUCUUGCCAUCGGAUGUGCCCAGAUGGGAUUAGCUAGUAGGUGGGGUAAAGGCUCACCUAGGCGACGAUCCCUAGCUGGUCUGAGAGGAUGACCAGCCACACUGGAACUGAGACACGGUCCAGACUCCUACGGGAGGCAGCAGUGGGGAAUAUUGCACAAUGGGCGCAAGCCUGAUGCAGCCAUGCCGCGUGUAUGAAGAAGGCCUUCGGGUUGUAAAGUACUUUCAGCGGGGAGGAAGGGAGUAAAGUUAAUACCUUUGCUCAUUGACGUUACCCGCAGAAGAAGCACCGGCUAACUCCGUGCCAGCAGCCGCGGUAAUACGGAGGGUGCAAGCGUUAAUCGGAAUUACUGGGCGUAAAGCGCACGCAGGCGGUUUGUUAAGUCAGAUGUGAAAUCCCCGGGCUCAACCUGGGAACUGCAUCUG